GUGCGUGCAUGUGUGCGUGCUUGUCAAUCGGCCAUGUGAUUUAUCUUUGUCUUCUAUCCAAGCCUUGUCUGAUGGUUGGAUCUUGUAAAGCUGAGUGCAUUGGGGAAAAUGAGGAAUUGGGAAUAAGAAGUGAGAAAUCUGGAUGUCCCCUUGCACGCCGGUCAGGGGCGGCUCCAUGUCAUUGUGAAAGAGAUGAUGGCCAACGAAACUGCUGGUGACAGUCAGGCAGUAAAACAGGGUCAGGGUCCUCUCUGUGGCCUGUCUAUCCAGGCCAUGCCAUCAAAACCAUAAUUUUCUUGACAGUUGCUCUCUUUUUCGAGAAUGUUUUUUUUGGAUCUGAUAUUCUGAUUAUCCUCCGACAUAUGCAUACAACCAGUUCUUUAUUAUCUUGGUAGACAGUAGACAAAACAAAUAACUACGACUUACAUUUGGAUAACCCAUGCCCGUAGCAGUGUGUCCACUCCGUUCUAUUAUAAACAACUCUCUGAUAUACAUCCAAAUCAAUAAGGGCCCGUGGUGUGCAGUUCAUCAUAUGGUAAUCUAAUGGAGUCUAUGGCAUACUACUGGAUUGCACCUGCGGUAUAAGGCCUGGAAGGAGCAAGUGGCUCCACAGAGGGAGCAGAAAUCAGAUCACAGACGACAACAUCGCCCACUACCUCUAAUCAAGCUUUGCUUUGUGGCAAGCUGUUUAGUUACCAUCUGGUUUAAGGAAGAAGGAGAAGGAGAAGAAGAAGAAAAUCUUUUGAGUUCCAGCUUAAAUUGAGAGCGUACUACUAUCCAUGCUGCUCCUGGAAGACUUAUGAGAGGGACGGUAAGAGUGAGGCUGGCUGGACCGAGAGAGACAAGAGGCGUUUCUUCCCAUGAGCAUCCUUUCAUACAGAUUGUAAUGUUAUGAAAUAUGUUUUUCUGCUGGUUUCAGCUCAGAGAUAUAUCUGUAUAGCUAGUGUUGGUAUUCUUGCUACUUUUUAUUGAAUGAAGGAAAAAGUUGAUGUAAUGACAGAGGCAAUUUGGCCUUUGUAGAUCACUGGGUUACAGUUGUUUGCAUUAUAUCCUUAUCCAUUAUUUGAUUUGAUAGUCUUGGAUAAUAAGUUUGUUGAAAAAUAAAUGCUAAUUUUCCCUU